AUUACUGUUUUGAUUACGAAAACAUCCGUUUAUUUUGAUAAGAAUAUUUGCAUUUUGAAACAUAGAGGUCCCUUCCGAUGCAUGCUUAUAAGAUUGAAAUCUGGAAAUCUUAUUCGGAAGUUUGAGUGACCAAGAUGUUGAAGUGUUGGCACGCCUGGGGCACGCUUUUAUCUAACAAUCUCUUGUGCAGGUGCUGUUAGAUAUCUUCAUUCGCUGGCAAGUAGUGAUAUGAAGCCUUUUG
rnacentral:lncRNA from 1 species